rnacentral:rRNA from 1 species
CUGGCCUGCCCAAUGAAGGUUGAAUGGCCGCGGUAUCUUGACCGUGCAAAGGUAGCAUAAUAAUUAGUUUUUUAAUUGGAAGCUGGAAUGAAUGGUCGGACGAGAAAGCAACUGUCUCUAGUUGAUCAAUAGAAUUUUAUUUUUAAGUGAAAAAGCUUAAAUUUAUUUAAAAGACGAGAAGACCCUAUAGAGUUUUAUAUUUUUUAUUAUAAUAAUUUACAGGAAUUUGUGUAAUUUUUAUAUUAUGAUUUAUUUUGUUGGGGUGAUGGAAAAAUUAGUUAAACUUUUUUUUUUUUUUU